rnacentral:rRNA from 1 species
UUGGCUUAGAAGCAGCCACUCAUUUAAAGAGUGCGUAAUAGCUCACUAGUCGAGAGAUCCUGCGCCGAAAAUGUACCGGGGCUAAACUUACCACCGAAGCUACGGAUUUGCAAGUAAUUGCAAGUGGUAGGGGAGCGUCGUAAUCGGGCUGAAGUCGUACCGGAAGGAGCGGUGGACUGAUUACGAGUGAGAAUGUUGGCAUUAGUAGCGAGAUGUAGGUGAGAAUCCUACAGGCCGAAUAUCUAAGGUUUCCUCAGGAAGGCUCGUCCGCUGAGGGUUAGUCGGGACCUAAGCCGAGGCCGAAAGGCGUAGGCGAUGGACAAUCGGUUGAUAUUCCGAUACCACUACCAUCGUUAUUAUCGAGGGUGUGACGGAGAAGGAUAGUGUGUGCUAGCGAUUGGAAAUGCUAGUCUAAGCGUUUAGGGAGUUACGGUAGGCAAAUCCGCUGUAACAAUUCUGAGGCGUGAUGGGGAAGGUCAUUAAGACCGAAGUACAUGAUUCCAUGCUUCCAAGAAAAGCAUCUAGAGAGAGAAGUAGUGCCCGUACCGCAAACCGACACAGGUAGAUGAGGAGAGAAUCCUAAGGCCGGCGGAAGAAUUGCAGUUAAGGAACUAGGCAAAUUGACCCCGUAAGUUCGCGAGAAGGGGUGCCUGCGAGAGCAGGCCGCAGAGAAUAGGCCCAAGCAACUGUUUAGCAAAAACACAGGUCUCUGCUAAAGCGUAAGCUGAUGUAUAGGGGCUGACGCCUGCCCGGUGCUGGAAGGUUAAGGGGAACACUUAGCGCAAGCGAAGGUGUGAACUUAAGCCCCAGUAAACGGCGGCCGUAACUAUAACGGUCCUAAGGUAGCGAAAUUCCUUGUCAGGUAAGUUCUGACCCGCACGAAUGGCGUAAUGACUUGGGCACUGUCUCAACUGCAAAUCCGGCGAAGUUGUAGUGCGAGUGAAGAUGCUCGCUACCCGCGAUUGGACGGAAAGACCCCGUAGAGCUUUACUGUAGCUUAGCAUUGAAUUCCGGUAUUGUCUGUACAGGAUAGGUGGGAGACUGGGAAACUAGGGCGUCAGCCUUAGUGGAGUCAACCUUGGGAUACCACCCUGACAGUACUGGGGUUCUAACAGGACGCCAUGAAGCUGGUGACUGGACAUUGUUAGGUGGGCAGUUUGACUGGGGCGGUCGCCUCCUAAAAAGUAACGGAGGCGCCCAAAGGUUCCCUCAGAACGGUCGGAAAUCGUUCGUAGAGUGCAAAGGCAGAAGGGAGCCUGACUGCGAGACCCACAAGUCGAGCAGGGACGAAAGUCGGGCUUAGUGAUCCGGUGGUACCUCGUGGGAGGGCCAUCGCUCAACGGAUAAAAGCUACCUCGGGGAUAACAGGCUGAUCUCCCCCAAGAGUCCACAUCGACGGGGAGGUUUGGCACCUCGAUGUCGGCUCAUCGCAUCCUGGGGCUGAAUUCGGUCCCAAGGGUUUGGCUGUUCGCCAAUUAAAGCGGUACGCGAGCUGGGUUCAGAACGUCGUGAGACAGUUCGGUCCCUAUCCGGCGUGGGCGUAGGAUAUCUGAGAGGAGCUGUCCUUAGUACGAGAGGACCGGGAUGGACUGACCUCUGGUGCACCAGUUGUUCUGCCAAGAGCAUGGCUGGGUAGCUAAGUCGGGAAGGGAUAAACGCUGAAAGCAUCUAAGCGUGAAGCCCCCCUCAAGAUGAGAUUUCCCAUAGCAUAAGCUAGUAAGACCCCUUGA